GGGUUGUGAGGUUAAGCGACUAAGCGUACACGGUGGAUGCCCUGGCAGUCAGAGGCGAUGAAGGACGUGCUAAUCUGCGAUAAGCGUCGGUAAGGUGAUAUGAACCGUUAUAACCGGCGAUUUCCGAAUGGGGAAACCCAGUGUGUUUCGACACACUAUCAUUAACUGAAUCCAUAGGUUAAUGAGGCGAACCGGGGGAACUGAAACAUCUAAGUACCCCGAGGAAAAGAAAUCAACCGAGAUUCCCCCAGUAGCGGCGAGCGAACGGGGAGCAGCCCAGAGCCUGAAUCAGUGUGUGUGUUAGUGGAAGCGUCUGGAAAGGCGCGCGAUACAGGGUGACAGCCCCGUACACAAAAAUGCACAUACUGUGAGCUCGAUGAGUAGGGCGGGACACGUGGUAUCCUGUCUGAAUAUGGGGGGACCAUCCUCCAAGGCUAAAUACUCCUGACUGACCGAUAGUGAACCAGUACCGUGAGGGAAAGGCGAAAAGAACCCCGGCGAGGGGAGUGAAAAAGAACCUGAAACCGUGUACGUACAAGCAGUGGGAGCCUCUUAAUGGGGUGACUGCGUACCUUUUGUAUAAUGGGUCAGCGACUUAUAUUCUGUAGCAAGGUUAACCGAAUAGGGGAGCCGAAGGGAAACCGAGUCUUAACUGGGCGUUAAGUUGCAGGGUAUAGACCCGAAACCCGGUGAUCUAGCCAUGGGCAGGUUGAAGGUUGGGUAACACUAACUGGAGGACCGAACCGACUAAUGUUGAAAAAUUAGCGGAUGACUUGUGGCUGGGGGUGAAAGGCCAAUCAAACCGGGAGAUAGCUGGUUCUCCCCGAAAGCUAUUUAGGUAGCGCCUCGUGAAUUCAUCUCCGGGGGUAGAGCACUGUUUCGGCAAGGGGGUCAUCCCGACUUACCAACCCGAUGCAAACUGCGAAUACCGGAGAAUGUUAUCACGGGAGACACACGGCGGGUGCUAACGUCCGUCGUGAAGAGGGAAACAACCCAGACCGCCAGCUAAGGUCCCAAAGUCAUGGUUAAGUGGGAAACGAUGUGGGAAGGCCCAGACAGCCAGGAUGUUGGCUUAGAAGCAGCCAUCAUUUAAAGAAAGCGUAAUAGCUCACUGGUCGAGUCGGCCUGCGCGGAAGAUGUAACGGGGCUAAACCAUGCACCGAAGCUGCGGCAGCGACACUAUGUGUUGUUGGGUAGGGGAGCGUUCUGUAAGCCUGUGAAGGUGUACUGUGAGGUAUGCUGGAGGUAUCAGAAGUGCGAAUGCUGACAUAAGUAACGAUAAAGCGGGUGAAAAGCCCGCUCGCCGGAAGACCAAGGGUUCCUGUCCAACGUUAAUCGGGGCAGGGUGAGUCGACCCCUAAGGCGAGGCCGAAAGGCGUAGUCGAUGGGAAACAGGUUAAUAUUCCUGUACUUGGUGUUACUGCGAAGGGGGGACGGAGAAGGCUAUGUUGGCCGGGCGACGGUUGUCCCGGUUUAAGCGUGUAGGCUGGUUUUCCAGGCAAAUCCGGAAAAUCAAGGCUGAGGCGUGAUGACGAGGCACUACGGUGCUGAAGCAACAAAUGCCCUGCUUCCAGGAAAAGCCUCUAAGCAUCAGGUAACAUCAAAUCGUACCCCAAACCGACACAGGUGGUCAGGUAGAGAAUACCAAGGCGCUUGAGAGAACUCGGGUGAAGGAACUAGGCAAAAUGGUGCCGUAACUUCGGGAGAAGGCACGCUGAUAUGUAGGUGAAGUCCCUUGCGGAUGGAGCUGAAAUCAGUCGAAGAUACCAGCUGGCUGCAACUGUUUAUUAAAAACACAGCACUGUGCAAACACGAAAGUGGACGUAUACGGUGUGACGCCUGCCCGGUGCCGGAAGGUUAAUUGAUGGGGUUAGCGGUAACGCGAAGCUCUUGAUCGAAGCCCCGGUAAACGGCGGCCGUAACUAUAACGGUCCUAAGGUAGCGAAAUUCCUUGUCGGGUAAGUUCCGACCUGCACGAAUGGCGUAAUGAUGGCCAGGCUGUCUCCACCCGAGACUCAGUGAAAUUGAACUCGCUGUGAAGAUGCAGUGUACCCGCGGCAAGACGGAAAGACCCCGUGAACCUUUACUAUAGCUUGACACUGAACAUUGAGCCUUGAUGUGUAGGAUAGGUGGGAGGCUUUGAAGUGUGGACGCCAGUCUGCAUGGAGCCGGCCUUGAAAUACCACCCUUUAAUGUUUGAUGUUCUAACGUUGGCCCCUGAUCGGGGUUGCGGACAGUGUCUGGUGGGUAGUUUGACUGGGGCGGUCUCCUCCUAAAGAGUAACGGAGGAGCACGAAGGUUGGCUAAUCCUGGUCGGACAUCAGGAGGUUAGUGCAAUGGCAUAAGCCAGCUUGACUGCGAGCGUGACGGCGCGAGCAGGUGCGAAAGCAGGUCAUAGUGAUCCGGUGGUUCUGAAUGGAAGGGCCAUCGCUCAACGGAUAAAAGGUACUCCGGGGAUAACAGGCUGAUACCGCCCAAGAGUUCAUAUCGACGGCGGUGUUUGGCACCUCGAUGUCGACUCAUCACAUCCUGGGGCUGAAGUAGGUCCCAAGGGUAUGGCUGUUCGCCAUUUAAAGUGGUACGCGAGCUGGGUUUAGAACGUCGUGAGACAGUUCGGUCCCUAUCUGCCGUGGGCGCUGGAGAACUGAGGGGGGCUGCUCCUAGUACGAGAGGACCGGAGUGGACGCAUCACUGGUGUUCGGGUUGUCAUGCCAAUGGCACUGCCCGGUAGCUAAAUGCGGAAGAGAUAAGUGCUGAAAGCAUCUAAGCACGAAACUUGCCCCGAGAUGAGUUCUCCCUGACUCCUUGAGAGUCCUGAAGGAACGUUGAAGACGACGACGUUGAUAGGCCGGGUGUGUAAGCGCAGCGAUGCGUUGAGCUAACCGGUACUAAUGAACCGUGAGGCUUAACCUUACAACGCCGAAGGUGUUU
rnacentral:rRNA from 1 species